GACGAACGCUGGCGGCGUGCCUAAUACAUGCAAGUCGAGCGAAGUUUUUCUGGUGCUUGCACCGGAAAAACUUAGCGGCGAACGGGUGAGUAACACGUAAAGAACCUGCCUCAUAGACUGGGACAACUAUUGGAAACGAUAGCUAAUACCGGAUAACAGCAUUAACUGCAUGGUUGAUGUUUAAAAGUCGGUUUUGCUAACACUAUGAGAUGGCUUUGCGGUGCAUUAGCUAGUUGGUGGGGUAAAGGCCUACCAAGGCGACGAUGCAUAGCCGACCUGAGAGGGUGAUCGGCCACACUGGGACUGAGACACGGCCCAGACUCCUACGGGAGGCAGCAGUAGGGAAUCUUCCGCAAUGGGCGAAAGCCUGACGGAGCAACGCCGCGUGAGUGAAGAAGGAUUUCGGUUCGUAAAGCUCUGUUGUUAGGGAAGAAUGAUUGUGUAGUAACUAUACACAGUAGAGACGGUACCUAACCAGAAAGCCACGGCUAACUACGUG
rnacentral:rRNA from 1 species